rnacentral:rRNA from 1 species
ACGGAAGGCAGCAGUGAGGAAUAUUGGUCAAUGGGCGAGAGCCUGAACCAGCCAAGUCGCGUGAAGGAUGAAGGUUCUAUGGAUUGUAAACUUCUUUUAUUCGAGGGUAAAGUGAGUCACGUGUGGUUCAUUGCAAGUAUCGAAUGAAUAAGCAUCGGCUAACUCCGUGCCAGCAGCCGCGGUAAUACGGAGGAUGCGAGCGUUAUCCGGAUUUAUUGGGUUUAAAGGGUGCGUAGGCGGGACGUUAAGUCAGUGGUAAAAGCGUGUGGCUCAACCAUACCAAGCCAUUGAAACUGUCGUUCUUGAGUGUAAACGAGGUAGGCGGAAUGUGACGUGUAGCGGUGAAAUGCUUAGAUAUGUCACAGAACCCCGAUUGCGAAGGCAGCUUACCAGCAUACAACUGACGCUGAGGCACGAAAGCGUGGGUAUCGAACAGGAUUAGAUACCCUGGUA